UACGAAGGGGGGCUAGCGUUGCUCGGAAUCACUGGGCGUAAAGCGCGCGUAGGUGGCUUCGUAAGUCCGUUGUGAAAGUCAAAGGCUCAACCUUUGAAAGCCGAUGGAUACUGCGGAGCUAGAGUACGGAAGAGGCGAGUGGAAUUCCUGGUGUAGCGGUGGAAUGCGCAGAUAUCAGGAGGAACACCGGUGGCGAAGGCGGCCACCUGGACGGAUACUGACGCUGAGACGCGAAAGCGUGGGGGAGCAAACAGG
rnacentral:rRNA from 1 species